UUUCAAGGAAAACAAGGGAAAUUAGAUAAAGAGGAAGGGUGGCGAUCUGAUAAAGAAGAACAAGACUCACUUGAAGAUUUUUGCUUCUUUAUGCCUGCCUCAGAAACUGGAGCAAAUGAGGCUAAAGACUUGUGAGUUUGGACGGUUCUUGUUCUCUUACUCUUUCUAGUAGGAAUUGGUCGUUUAAUCUUGGGUGGGGAUGCAGGAUCAGAAUCUAAGGUCUCAAUCACAACUACUUUCCUUCGCUUAGACACUUGGGUGAUGACUUCAGACGCUUCUUCGUCAGCCCUUGAAUCUUCUGAAACAUCCCCACCUUCUCCAGCUUCUCGUCUUU
rnacentral:lncRNA from 1 species